ACUCAAAUUUAGAGUCACCCGGAAGGGCUAAUUAUUAGAUACACCAGAAGUAUUAAAAAAUAAUACUCCAUCUCAUAAAAAAAUAAGUCCUCCUUAUAAUAGGGAGAGCAUGUCUCAUAUAAUUAUGAGAAAUUGUGCAUGUACACUGGAUGCACCAAAUAAUUUCUCCAAUAGAAGUAAAGAGUGCAUGGGAGGCCUACCUUAACCUGACAAUUAGAUAGAGAGGGGCUAAAACCUUUCAAAUAUUUUUUAUAUGCUAGAUAUGUGUCA
rnacentral:misc_RNA from 1 species